UGGUGAGGUAGUUUAAGCAUAAAACACUUAUUUUACACGUAAGAGAUAACUAGGGGUUUAUCACUAU
rnacentral:tRNA from 1 species